UCCUGAUCCCNCCAUGCCGCGUGCAGGAAGACGGUCCUAUGGAUUGUAAACUGCUUUUAUACAGGAAGAAAAAGAGAGAUUCGUUCUCUCAUUGACGGUACUGUACGAAUAAGAAUCGGCUAACUCCGUGCCAGCAGCCGCGGUAAUACGGAGGAUUCAAGCGUUAUCCGGAAUCAUUGGGUUUAAAGGGUUCGUAGGCGGGACAAUAAGUCAGUGGUGAAAGUUUGUGGCUCAACCAUAAAAUUGCCAUUGAUACUGUUGUUCUUGAGUUAUUGUGAAGUGGUUAGAAUGUGUAGUGUAGCGGUGAAAUGCAUAGAUAUUACACAGAACACCAAUUGCGAAGGCAUAUCACUAACAAUCAACUGACGCUGAUGAACGAAAGCGUAGGUAGCCAACAGGAUUAGAUACCCUGGUAGUCUACGCCGUAAACGAUGGUUACUAGCUGUUUAUCAUGCCUUUUGGCGAGAUAAGUGGCUAAGCGAAAGCGAUAAGUAACCCACCUGGGGAGUACGUUCGCAAGAAUGAAACUCAAAAGAAUUGACGGGGGCCCGCACAAGCGGUGGAGCAUGUGGUUUAAUUCGAUGAUACGCGAGGAACCUUACCAAGGCUUAAAUGCAUAUUGACGUCUCAGGAAACUGAGAUUUCUUCGGACAAUUUGCAAGGUGCUGCAUGGUUGUCGUCAGCUCGUGCCGUGAGGUGUCAGGUUAAGUCCUAUAACGAGCGCANCCCCUGUGGUUAGUUA
rnacentral:rRNA from 1 species